UGGCGGCGAUAGCGCGGUGGUCCCACCUGACCCCAUGCCGAACUCAGAAGUAAAACGCCGUAGCGCCGAUGGUAGUGUGGGGCUUCCCCAUGCGAGAGUAGGGAACUGCCAG
rnacentral:rRNA from 1 species